rnacentral:tmRNA from 1 species
GGGGAUGAUCGGCUUUGAGGGGAAGUAGACGCAAUUCACUGCUGGCCGGCUAAUCCUUCGCUGUAGCCGUAAAACAUAUGCAAAGGAAACCAAUACAUGCAAACAAACAAGUUGCAUACGCUUACGCAUAACUAGUGCCUCUAAGCGGCUCCGCUUUUGAACAUUUCCGGGAGGUUCAUUAGUUGGGGCAUAUCAUUUCCCGGAUAAGAUAUAGGACACUGGCAGUCGGUCCUGUAUACGAAAAACAAGCUAUGCCGCUUUACUUGUUUUUUGCGAAUUUUUCAGCAGGUAAAGCUAUACAAAAUUCGAUGCGCCAGGAGACGUGUUUUGUAACUAUUUUUUCGACGCGGGUUCGAUUCCCGUCAUCUCCACAA